rnacentral:sRNA from 1 species
CUUCCUCGAUCUGCUGCGGGCAGAUGAAGUGGAUGUGCGCAUCGAAGCCGCCAGCGGUGAGGAUCCUGCCCUCGCCGGCGAUGGCCUCCGUGGACGGUCCCACGAUGAUGGUGACACCGGGCUGCGUAUCGGGAUUGCCCGCCUUGCCGAUGGCCGCGAUGAUCCCGUCCUUAAGACCCACAUCGGCCUUGUAGAUGCCGGUGUGGUCGACGAUCAGCGCGUUGGUGAUGACGGUGUCGACCGCGCCUUCCGCGCGGGUUGCCUGGCUCUGGCCCAUGCCGUCGCGGAU